CGCGUGCAUAGCACCAGUGAUCAUUUAAACCUCGAGUCUGGUCUGCUCUAGUUCGUUAUAGCUGUUGAGUGUUGAUUUAAUUCUGUAAUUUAGUUGCGUUACCUUACUGAUGAUAAAUGUAUCCUUUUGGUGCCAUAAUAUGGGUAUAAACAAAGGAGUCGGCAGAAACAACGCUGCAGGAUCAGAUAAUAUGUGCAGGUUCUUCCUGAUUAGUGUGUGGUAAUGGCCAGCUAUGGCCCUCUGUAGUGCUGGACAGAUGAUGACAGAGAGAGGACACCAUGAAGAAAUACCUGUCCAAUUAUGUACCUUUCUUCACACUUGUGGGACUGGCAGGACUUGCAUUGGUUUUAUGGAAUAUCACUAUGCUGGAAAGCUGGAACUGUCAGACAGUUUCUACUUACCUUCAGCUUCAAAACAGCAUACAGUCUGUCCUGAAGAUCUCUGAAAUCUUUCCUGUGGAAUUCAACUACUCGUACUGUUCCCACCUUGGCCAGGAGCCCACUGAAGAGGAGGCCAAAGAGGAGCGGUAUCUUCUCAAAUCCAUCUCCUGGUCAGAGCCACCGGUUCUUGGACUGCCGUUGCGUCAAAGUAGUGAUCCUGCACAAAGCUAUUAUAUAAUCCAAGACUCCGGGGAGCUGCAGGUUGGUGGGAAGCUGGUAGUGAAGGUACAGAUGAACAACUUUUUUGGUCAACCUAAGAAACAUGGAGGGGACUUCCUAGUCGCACGACUUCAUACACCUGAACUGGGGGCAGGUGUGGUAGGACGGGUACACGACCACAGGAAUGGAAACUAUUCUCUAUUUUUUCCACUGCUUUGGCCUGGUGUUGUUCAGGUGGAUGUGACCAUGGUACAUCCCAGCGAAGCUAUCAUGGUACUCAAGCGACUGAGAGAGGAGCAAUCGGACCGUGUCUUCUUCAAGAGCCUCUUCCGCUCAAGGUAUCUCUCUGAGACCACUUUGUGCAAUUUGUGUCUGCCGGUCAAAAAGCAGCCGCUUUGCAACUACACAGACCCUUAUACCGGAGAACCUUGGUACUGUUAUAAACCCAAAUUGUUGGAUUGUGACACGAGGGUCAACCAUGCAAAGGGGGGCUAUAAAAAAAACCUCCUUACAUCAUAUGAGAAAAAAUUCUUCCAAAGUGCAGUAAAUAUAAAAAUUCCAAUACAUGCCGCAGGGAUGGACAAUGUGACUGUUCUUCCUGCUUCUAAAGGACAAACCACAUGGAGAAACCUUGAACUUUCUCAAUCUGGGUUUUACUAUCGAGGGAUAUGGAGGCCUUUGACUGGUGUUGUCAUGCGUCAAUUUAAUGACUCUUCAGCUAUAACUCAGUGUCUUAGGGGGAAGAUGGUGUACAUGUAUGGAGACUCCACUGUACGACAGUGGUAUGAGUAUCUUGUUGCCCAGGUUCCAGAGUUUAAGGAAUUCAACUUUUACAGCCCCAAAAAUGUUGGGCCAUUCAUGGCAGUGGAUAGCAACCACAGCAUCGUGUUGAGAUAUCGCUGUCACGGCCCACCAAUCCGCUUCACUACCGUUUCCUCAGCUGAACUGCAUUACAUCUCUAAUGAACUGGACGGUUUACGAGGGGGCUCGGACACUGUGGUUAUGAUUAGCAUCUGGUCACAUUUCAGCACUUUCCCGGUUCAGGUCUACAUACGCCGCCUGCGGCACAUCCGCAGAGCAGUGAUUCGGCUGCUUAAUCGUGAACCAGCAACUAUAGUGCUGAUUCGCACAGCCAACCUCCAGAAACUUGACCCAGAGUCUAGCUUAUACAACAGCGAUUGGUUCUCCCAACAGCUUGAUUCGGUACUUCGGAUCAUGUUUAAAGGUCUGAAUGUCCAGCUGGUGGAUGCCUGGGAGAUGACACUUGCCCAUCACCAACCUCAUCAGCUACAUCCCUCACCUGCCAUCAUAUCAAACAUGAUUCAGUUCAUCUUAUCACACAUCUGCCCGGUUAGGAGAAAGAGAAAGAGGGCUUAAAAAAGUCUUUCUUUUGCAUCCUCCUUCGAGUUUCUUCUCUACCGUGGUGCAAAUUCGAGGAGGAAAGCAGGAUCGACAAUUGUUACAACCCAUUUCAAGGAAGCAACAAAACACAAAGGUGCACAUUCAAAAUAUAAUUUAUUUAAUAAAGGGGUUUAAAUGUAAUCAAAUUAAACAUAAACAUACACCUAACUUAACAGAAAAAUCAACUUAAAUAUAAAGAAGCACAACAAAACAAAAGGUCCAGCCAGACUCAAAACCAAGCCAAAUGAGAAUGAGCCCUGGUGUGAGGAUCCAGAUCUCUUAAGUAGCCAACGGAAAUUGGAAACAGGUGGAUCCAAUUAACCUAAAGAGAAAAAGUAAACAGAACAAAAACUACCUCGUAACACAAUGAAAACAAAACGAAACUUAAGAUGGAGUUUCAUGCGCUAUGCGUGUGCGUCCUCUGUGUUUAGUUACUAGAGCGCACGUCUCUCACAAGGAUCGUAAUGGCAGUGAUUGACAAGCCAGAGGGCCAAUCGCUUAUGCGAUGACUGCAUGAGCAAUUGGCUGAUGUUUUUAAGGCCCUAUCCUGUGCACAGAUGACGUAUAUUAAUAAUAUUACUUUCAGUGCACCUAAUAAAUAGUCUUUUAUCAUUUAGUAAAGACAAUUUCAAGUAAUAUUGCAAAAAUGUAUAAAACAAACAUCCUCUUUUGCACCUUUAAGGCUGGGAAAUGCAAUUAUAAGUUAAGCAACAUCAUAUGAAAGUUGCAAUGUUUAUAAUGCAGUUUUUGUUUAGCGAUAAAGUUUUUCAAGAUAGAUACAUUCCUGUGACAAGUGUCAAGACAGAUGUUUUAAUAGAUGUCUUUGAUUUAAACUUUGAUGGCACAACAGCAUUAGAUUCGUAAAGAUUCAUUCAUUUCAUAAACUUUAAAUGCAAACCGUUCAUUUCAAUGAAUCAUUCCAAAACUCUGAUUCAAAGAUUUGUGUCAUCAGACAAUAUGUAAUAUUGUCGCAUGUAAAUGGCACUGCAAUAUUUAACUUUUGUUCAUUUUAGGCCACAUUGCAGAGAAAACAUCUUCAGUCAUGAUUUUUUCAUUUUUUUUUUUUUUUUAUUAUUACAUUUAUCCAUGUCACCCUCUUUGACAUAGAAGAUCUGAUUAAAAAAUAUAAAGAUUCAUAACAAUACUUUUAAAUAGCUCUCAUGGCAGAAUAUAAUAUUGUAAGGCUAUGCUAACCCCUCUGUGCUUUGUGUUGGCUUAAACAAUUUUAAAAUUUUGCUAAAAAGAUCCAUAUGUAUAUGCAUCCAAAAACAUUUAGGGGACAUUUAAUUAUUUAAUGGUUAAAGAGGCAAUACAUUAAAGAAAGACCGCAUAAACUCUAACCACUGUUUAACUGUAAUUGCAGAUUACUAUGAGGCUACAUAAAGCCACAUUUGAAGGCAAUAAGUAGGUCGACAGGAAAUCCGUGAAUACAGAAGUCCACUGAAUGGUCAAAAGAUUUCUGCAGAAUUGCAUGUCCAUCAUUCACAAUUUCAACACAUCCUUCUCGCAUUUGUUCAAGACAUUUCAACAUGAUUAAUCUGUUCUUCAGAUUACCAUAGCCAGCAUGGAAAAUGUGAAAAACUUACCAAGCAAUGAACGUUAAAGUAUAAGUUAAUUUCUGUAUGUAAAAAGUUUCAUGAGAAAUAAGAGGUUUUAAAAUAGUAUUCUGAUAUAUGUACUGUAUGAAUAUCAGCUUUGUUUUCUCAACAAGGAUCGCUUUGUAAUAAUGCUGUGUUAGCCUGUGGCUACACUGUAAAAAAUUUGCUGUAAUUAUGUAGCUGGUUGCCAGUAACUUACUGUUGAACAUAAAGACUGAUGUUCAUUUAACAUUAAACAAACUGUUGCCAGUAAAUAACAUAAAUGAAAAAUCUACAGUAAGUUACUGGCAGCUAGUUGCCAGUAAUACCCAGUAAUAUUGUAAUUUCUACAGAAAUUUUUUACAGUGUAUAUGGCGUUGCAUGCGACUUUGGAAGCUUAUUUUUUUUCAAUCAGCAAUACAUGUAUAUGAAGAUUCAUGUAAGCAUUUCUUCUGUCCAAAUACAACAUGUGAACAGCGAAACCCUGAAAUAUGAAUAACACUCAGCUGCUUAUUUAAGUGCACAUUCACCAGUUUGUUACAGUAUAAGUGUCUUUCUAAUAUGAUGUUUAUGCUUUAAAAUGCUAUGUACAGUAUAUGCCAAUCACAGAUUACUUUACCGCUAAAGGGUUUUGUUUACAAUGUUUCAUGUGCCUUAUUUAAUGUUAUUGUUUCAAUUGUCAUAUGUGGUUUGUGCGAUUUGAAGGUAAAAAAGUGAGGUUAAACCAAUAUUGUCAAUGUAUGAAAUUUUUUGUCCAUCUUUUGUAAUUAAUUGUUUUGUGAGAUCAGGAGAAGGACAUUAUCAUCUGUAAACUCAGCUUAUUUAUAUUUACAAUAUAUUUCAUUAAACAAAAUAAAUUUCUUCUAAUGGUCCAAUUCACGAUUUUACAUUCCUUUGACUUUUGGUGUGUAUUAGUACAUGUUAACAAUAUGCAAAGGUUCAUACCACAAAGAAAACAAUGAUGCGAGUUAGCGUCUCCAACGUUAAUCUUUACUACAACAAACACACGGAUUGUAGGCAACAGUUUACUUUCUAGUAUCGGUGAUCUAGAGAAGACCGACAUUAUCAUAACUCAAUCCACUUCGGACACACAGCCUGUAUAUUAUUUACUCGCAAAUUUUUCAAACAUAGUGAGGAGCAUUAUUUUCCGGCUGUCGCCUUAGGUAUUCAGACCAAUCACGACGUACAGAUUAGCUGGCCAAUCAGGGACACGGCGCUUUUCAAAUCUGUGCAUUUCAGGAAGAGAGCGAAAUCUGGACCUAUAAAAAUGUACGGUAUGUGGAAAAUAAUGUGUUUUUAACCAUAAACCACGUGAACACAUUGUAUUAUACUAAAAUCACAAAGAAAUGUUGUUUUUAGCCAUAGGUGCGCUUUAAGCAUCCAAUGUUUUAACAUCUAUGCGAGGUUUUUU